rnacentral:rRNA from 1 species
GAUGAACGCUGGCGGCGUGCCUAAUACAUGCAAGUCGAGCGAACGGACGAGAAGCUUGCUUCUCUGAUGUUAGCGGCGGACGGGUGAGUAACACGUGGAUAACCUACCUAUAAGACUGGGAUAACUUCGGGAAACCGGAGCUAAUACCGGAUAAUAUUUUGAACCGCAUGGUUCAAAAGUGAAAGACGGUCUUGCUGUCACUUAUAGAUGCAUCCGCGCUGCAUUAGCUAGUUGGUAAGGUAACGGCUUACCAAGGCAACGAUGCAUAGCCGACCUGAGAGGGUGAUCGGCGACACUGGAACUGAGACACGUGCCUGACUCCUACGGGAGGCAGCAGUAGGGAAUCUUCCGCAAUGGGCGAAAGCCUGACGGAGAAACGCCGCGGGAUUGAUGAAGUUCCUCGGAUCGUAAAACUCUGUUAUUAGGGAAGAACAGAUGUGUAAGUAACUGUGCACAUCUUGACGGUACCUAAUCAGAAAGCCACGGCUAACUACGUG